AGGAUGAACGCUGGCGGCGUGCCUAACACAUGCAAGUGGAGCGACGAACCCGGACUUGUCCGGGGGCAAAGCCGCGAACGGGUGAGUAACACGUGGGUUAUCUGCCCCAAUGACCGGGACAACUCGAGGAAACUCGAGCUAAUACCGGAUGUGCUCUUCGGAGGAAAGGAAGCUUCGGCCUCCGCAUUGGGAUGAGCCCGCGGCGCAUUAGCUUGUUGGUGAGGUAAAAGCUCACCAAGGCGACGAUGCGUAGCUGGUCUGAGAGGACGAUCAGCCACACUGGAACUGAGACACGGCCCAGACUCCUACGGGAGGCAGCAGUAAGGAAUAUUCCACAAUGGGCGAAAGCCUGAUGGAGCGACGCCGCGUGCGGGAAGACGCCUUUCGGGGUGUAAACCGCUUUUCUCGGGGAUGAAACGUGUUCUCACGAACACUAAGACAGUACCUGAGGAAUAAGCAUCGGCUAACUACGUGCCAGCAGCCGC
rnacentral:rRNA from 1 species